GUAAUUACCAGCAGAGUCUCACAUCUCUCACUGCUGAUUUCUGAGCAACGUUGAUGCUUUGAUAGCCUACACUAACCAGCUUUUGGUCGUGUUUGUCCCAGUUUUGUCUGUCCCAGGCCCAGUAAAACAAGACUUGA